rnacentral:lncRNA from 10 species
AGCUGAGGCACAUGCCUUGGGAGCUAAGUGGUUGCUGCCCUUGACCACUGUGAAGACUGGUGUGGGAAGGGUCGUUUUGGAUGCACUUGAGCAGGGGUCCCCAACCCCUGAGCCAUGGAGCCGCAAGGAGCCACACAGCAGGAGGUGGGAACAUCCAGUUGCAGGAAAACAAGCUUAACACGCCCACUGAUUCUACAUUAUGGGUCUCCCUCUGUUGUCCAAGGCUGGAGUGUAGUAGUGCUAUCGCAGCUGACUGCAGCCUCAACCUUCCAGGCUGAAGCGAUCCUCCCACCUCAACCUCCCACGUGGCUGAGACUACAGGUGCUUGCCACUAUGCCCAACUAACAUUUGGAAUUUUCGUAUACGUGGAUUCUAGAGGGGUGACAGCGAAACGUGGGACCAUCCAGUUGCAGGAAAACAAGCUUGACACGCCCACUAAUUCUACAUUAUGCUCCUACCUCCCGGCAGCCUCUCCAGGCCCAGAACUUUCUCCAGUCAGCCUCUACAGACCAAGCUCAUGACUCACAAUGGCCUAUUUAGGCCCAUACCCUACGUCACGGCAGCCUCCGCAGAUGAGGCUACUGCCUCACAACAGCCUCCACAGGCACAGCUCCAUCGUUACAAUGGCCUCUUUAGACCCAGCUCCUGCCUCCCAGCCUUCUCUCCAGGCCCUGAACUUUCUCAAGUCGACCUCACCAGGCCCAGCUCAUGCUUCUUUGCAGCCUCUCCAGGCCCAGCUCCUGCAUCUUGGUGG